rnacentral:rRNA from 1 species
GAUCAUGGCUCAGGAUGAACGCUGGCGGCGUGCCUAACACAUGCAAGUCGAGCGGGAAAUACUUGAUUGAAACUUCGGUCGAUUGAUAGUAUGGAGAGCGGCGGACGGGUGAGUAACGCGUAGGCAACCUGCCUUAUGCAGAGGGAUAGCCAUUGGAAACGAUGAUUAAAACCUCAUAAUGCCAAGAGUUCACAUGUACUUUUGGCCAAAGAUUUAUCGGCAUAAGAUGGG